GAUGAACGCUAGCGGCAUGCUUUACACAUGCAAGUCGAACGGCAGCACGGGUGCUUGCACCUGGUGGCGAGUGGCGGACGGGUGAGUAAUGCAUCGGAACGUGUCCUAAAGUGGGGGAUAACGCAUCGAAAGAUGUGCUAAUACCGCAUAUUCUCUGAGGAGGAAAGUAGGGGAUCGAAAGACCUUAUGCUUUUGGAGCGGCCGAUGUCUGAUUAGCUAGUUGGUAGGGUAAUGGCUUACCAAGGCGACGAUCAGUAGUUGGUCUGAGAGGACGACCAGCCACACUGGGACUGAGACACGGCCCAGACUCCUACGGGAGGCAGCAGUGGGGAAUUUUGGACAACGGGCGCAAGCCUGAUCCAGCAAUGCCGCGUGAGUGAAGAAGGCCUCGGUUGUAAAGCUCUUUCAGUUGAAAAGAAAAAGACCGUAGACUAAUAAUACAUGGUUCAUGACGGUAUCAACAGAAGAAGACACCGGCUAACUACGUAGCCAG
rnacentral:rRNA from 1 species